UUAUAAUUAAGUCGUCUGGGAAGUCUUCCAGCUGAAAGACUUUCCAGACGACUUAAUUAUAAGUCUUUCAGCUGGAAAACUUGCCAGACGACUUAAUUAUA
rnacentral:pre_miRNA from 1 species